GGUCCUAUAGUCUAGUGGUCAGGACGUUGGAUUUUGAUUACCCUAAUCAAAAGUCUCUUCCAAAGACACCAGUUCGAACCUGGUUAGGACCU